CAGGUUUUACAUUAAAGAGGAGAAAUAAUGGAACAGGCAGAGGGAAUAUUUCAUCAUCAUUGAAGGAUGCCUUUCCUUUAUUGUAACUCAAACCAUCGGUGCUUGGUGCUUCUUGACGCUGCGCGACUACCUCUACCGCAAAUCAUCUCCUUUCCCUUUUGAAUCGAUCUACUAUUGGUAAUAAUGAAUAUAAAGAGAAAGGAAGAGAUAUGUUAGAGACAUGGACAUGAGUUUUCUUAUUUUAAGUUACUAAAAGGUUGUUAAUUUAUUUUUCUUAUGUUUUUAG